GCUCGUAGGCGGCCUGUUGCGUCCGCUGUGAAAUCCCGGGGCUCAACCCCGGGCCUGCAGUGGAUACGGGCAGGCUGGAGGCAGGCAGGGGAGAACGGAAUUCCUGGUGUAGCGGUGAAAUGCGCAGAUAUCAGGAGGAACACCGGUGGCGAAGGCGGUUCUCUGGGCCUGUACUGACGCUGAGGAGCGAAAGCGUGGGGAGCGAACAGGAUUAGAUACCCUGGUAGUCCACGCCGUAAACGUUGGGCGCUAGGUGUGGGUCCCUUCCACGGGGUCUGUGCCGCAGCUAACGCAUUAAGCGCCCCGCCUGGGGAGUACGGCCGCAAGGCUAAAACUCAAAGAAAUUGACGGGGGCCCGCACAAGCGGCGGAGCAUGUUGCUUAAUUCGACGCAACGCGAAGAACCUUACCAAGGCUUGACAUGGCCUCAAAAGCCGCAGAGAUGUGGUGUCCGCAAGGGGGGGGUCACAGGUGGUGCAUGGCUGUCGUCAGCUCGUGUCGUGAGAUGUUGGGUUAAGUCCCGCAACGAGCGCAACCCUCGUCCUAUGUU
rnacentral:rRNA from 1 species